rnacentral:lncRNA from 1 species
GUGAUGAAUAAGGCCAAAUAACUUUUAUUAUUUAUCAAUUUAUAUACGAUUAUAAUUAGCAUAAUCGUCAAAUGAUUGACUUUAGGACACAAUUUCCAACAACUCCUACUUGGACUAAAGCCAAUCAGUAUAGUAUCAUAUACCCAUUUUCAUUUUAUAAUCUCAAAACUCCUAGAUAUCGAGGCUUUAGUAAAUGGGAUGGUCAAGUUCUCUUUUCCAUCGAUCUUCUAAAGAUUGA